rnacentral:lncRNA from 1 species
GUGGGACUGCACAGCUUUGUUUAAAGCGACAAUUUAUGCCAAAACAUUUGGUGUUCCAAGCAGCAAGGGAUCAACUUUGAAUGAUUUAUAUUUGAAGAAAGUUAAACCACCUCCUGGUUCUUUUCAUUCAUCAGUUCAAAGUUCAACAGGAAAUCAAGAUGAGACCUACGCCUUGGCAAUUGAUCAACUGCGAUUAUUGAGAAACACACUUUGUCAUUCACCAAAACCAG